UACGAAGGGUGCAAACGUUGCUCGGAAUUAUUGGGCGUAAAGCGCACGUAGGCGGCUUAGCAAGUCGGAUGUGAAAGCCCUCGGCUCAACCAAGGAAGUGCAUCCGAAACUGCAGAGCUUGAGUACUUAAGAGGAUCGCGGAAUUCCCGGUGUAGUGGUGAAAUGCGUAGAUAUCGGGAGGAACACCAGUGGCGAAGGCGGCAUCCUGGACCGACACUGACGCUGAGGAGCGAAAGCAUGGGGAGCGAACAGG
rnacentral:rRNA from 1 species